rnacentral:rRNA from 1 species
GACGAACGCUGGCGGCGUGCCUAAUACAUGCAAGUAGAACGCACAGUUUAUACCGUAGCUUGCUACACCAUAGACUGUGAGUUGCGAACGGGUGAGUAACGCGUAGGUAACCUGCCUGGUAGCGGGGGAUAACUAUUGGAAACGAUAGCUAAUACCGCAUAAUAUUGAUUAUUGCAUGAUAAUUAAUUGAAAGGUGCAAUUGCACCACUACCAGAUGGACCUGCGUUGUAUUAGCUAGUAGGUGAGGUAACGGCUCACCUAGGCGACGAUACAUAGCCGACCUGAGAGGGUGAGCGGCCACACUGGGACUGAGACACGGCCCAGACUCCUACGGGAGGCAGCAGUAGGGAAUCUUCGGCAAUGGACGAAAGUCUGACCGAGCAACGCCGCGUGAGUGAAGAAGGGUUUCGGAUCGUAAAGCUCUGUUGUAAGAGAAGAACGGGUGUGAGAGUGGAAAGUUCACACUGUGACGGUAUCUUACCAGAAAGGGACGGCUAACUACGUG